GACGAACGCUGGCGGCGUGCCUAAUACAUGCAAGUCGAGCGGACUUUCAAGAAGCUUGCUUUUUGAAAGUUAGCGGCGGACGGGUGAGUAACACGUGGGCAACCUGCCUGCAAGACGGGGAUAACUCCGGGAAACCGGGGCUAAUACCGGAUAAUAUCUUCCUUCGCAUGAAGGAAGGUUGAAAGGCGGCGCAAGCUGCCGCUUGCAGAUGGGCCCGCGGCGCAUUAGCUAGUUGGUGAGGUAACGGCUCACCAAGGCGACGAUGCGUAGCCGACCUGAGAGGGUGAUCGGCCACACUGGGACUGAGACACGGCCCAGACUCCUACGGGAGGCAGCAGUAGGGAAUCUUCCGCAAUGGACGAAAGUCUGACGGAGCAACGCCGCGUGAGCGAAGAAGGGCUUCGGAUCGUAAAGCUCGGUUGUCAGGGAAGAACAAGUACCGUUCGAACAGGGCGGUACCUUGACGGUACCUGACCAGAAAGCCACGGCUAACUACGUG
rnacentral:rRNA from 1 species